rnacentral:rRNA from 1 species
GACGAACGCUGGCGGCGUGCUUAACACAUGCAAGUCGAACGCAGUAGCAAUACUGAGUGGCAGACGGGUGAGUAACAUGUGGGAAUCUGCCUUGUGGUUCAGGACAACAUUUGGGAAACCGAUGCUAAUACUGGAUAAGCCCUUACGGGGAAAGUUUUAAUGCCAUAAGAUGAGCCCGCAUUUGAUUAGUUAGUUGGUGAGGUAAUGGCUCACCAAGCAAUGAUCAAUAGCUGAUCUGAGAGGAUGAUCAGCCACACUGGGACUGAGACACGGCCAGACUCCUACGGAGGCAGCAGUGGGAAUCUUGCACAAUGGAGGAAACUCUGAUGCAGCGAUGCCGCGUGAGUGAAGAAGGCCUUUGGGUUGUAAAGCUCGUUUUGUAGGGGAAGAUAAUGACU